GGCCUCCAAUGCUUCUGUAUGUCUCACUCAGAGGGCUGCAACAUUUUAAAGGAAGUAAGGCCUCAUGCAUGCACGCUGCUGCAGAAAACAAAGGCUGGAGCUCUCAUUAUCUCUCUUUGACAAACAAAACGAAAUACACACCUUCUUCCACGUGAUGCGAAAGAUUCUGAAGCUCUCAGGUGAAAAUAUGGCGAUACCAUGGGAACAGGCGGUGUGGCUCAGAGAUCAUGCAAAGGCAUUGCCUCUCCCAUUUCAAAAUAAAUCCUCUGUGGAAUUUCAGAGAGCUCAUAGAAAACAGUCCAGAAGUUCUUGAUGAGCUCAUCAGAGGCAGAGCACUUUUCAUAGGAAGCACACUGAAGAUGAAGCAGAAAAACUCAGGGGAGCCUUGGAAAAGCUGCUGGAGUUCCUCAGGGUGGAACAUGCUCCAGGCAUCAAGUGGACAGCCCUUAUAGAAACCUCUUGAAAAAUGUUUGAACUGUUUCUUUACGGACUUGUUGAAAACGAAGUUCACAUACAAAUCCACAUACUUCUGUCUGGGAAAAAAAAUAAAAAAGUUCUUUCUUUGCAAUGCACAGAAGGAACAUUUACAGCAGGGGUCACCAGAGUUGGUCCUG